rnacentral:lncRNA from 1 species
GCAUAUUCUACUCCCUUUUGCUAAUGAGAUACAAGCAAAGUGAGGAGAAUCCUGUUAUCUCUAUGAUAAUAAGCACACAUUAACUUGCUGGGGGACGAGAUACCACACGGAGAAGAACGAAGGUGCCCCAGUUGACAGGCAACUCACCCCUAGAAACAGCUGCAAUCAGCAUCUGUCCACACAUGUCUGAAGGAUCCCAGCUGAGACCAAAAGAAUUGCCCAGCUGAGUUUAGCUUAAAUUGCUGACCAGCCGAAUCAUGAGCUAGGCCCUGUCCCUUCAGCCUUUGGCCUGGGGAGAGAUGUUGAUAAGGAGGCACCGAUCUUUCACUGCUGGAAGGAAAUGAGGGUUCAGACCCUUCACCUCCCUCAGAGCUGCACGUCAGUGUGACAGCCACUGGCCAUGUCCCAGCGUCCGAUCACAUCCUCCGUCACUCAGGGACUGAGGGGGCGGGGCCUGGAGCCCUAUCCAAUCAGGGGCGCUGACGUAGGAACCGUCCAAUCAGGCGUGCAGCCGGACAGAAGGGCGCGGCUUCCGGGAUCUGGCGGGGCCUUCGUCUCUCUUGCCAGCCUCAGCUGGGUCGUCUUCUGUGCUCGGCGUGCUCUGCUCGGGGAAGCUCAGGUGGCCGCCACAGCCUCUUGCCCUCUGACCUGCAGGUAUCGGGAGAUCCAUAGCUAAGAAGCCUGGACACCCGGGAAGCUGGGAAAUG